GAGUUUGAUCCUGGCUCAGGAUUAACGCUGGCGGCGUGCCUAAUACAUGCAAGUCGAACGGAAGUACCUUCGGGUACUUUAGUGGCGAACGGGUGAGUAAUACAUAGGUAACCUACCCUUAAGACGAGGAUAGCCAUUGGAAACGAUGGAUAAAACUGGAUAGGAUAUAGAGGAAGAAUCUUUUAUAUUUAAAAGAGAGAUCUGCUUAAGGAGGGGCCUGUGGCGCAUUAGCUAGUUGGUGGGGUAAGGGCCUACCAAGGCGAUGAUGCGUAGCCGGACUGAGAGGUUGAACGGCCACAAUGGAACUGAGAACGGUCCAUACUCCUACGGGAGGCAGCAGUAGGGAAUUUUCGGCAAUGGGGGGAACCCUGACCGAGCAACGCCGCGUGAACGAAGAAGUUAUUCGUAGUAGUAAAGUUCUUUAUCAUUGAAGAAAGAGAAUUGACGGUACCUGAGGAAUA
rnacentral:rRNA from 1 species